GAUGAACGCUGGCGGCAUGCCUAAUACAUGCAAGUCGAGCGAACAGAUGAGGAGCUUGCUCCUCUGACGUUAGCGGCGGACGGGUGAGUAACACGUGGAUAACCUACCUAUAAGACUGGGAUAACUUCGGGAAACCGGAGCUAAUACCGGAUAAUAUAUUGAACCGCAUGGUUCAAUAGUGAAAGACGGUUUUGCUGCCACUUAUAGAUGGAUCCGCGCCGCAUUAGCUAGUUGGUAAGGUAACGGCUUACCAAGGCAACGAUGCGUAGCCGACCUGAGAGGGUGAUCGGCCACACUGGAACUGAGACACGGUCCAGACUCCUACGGGAGGCAGCAGUAGGGAAUCUUCCGCAAUGGGCGAAAGCCUGACGGAGCAACGCCGCGUGAGUGAUGAAGGUCUUCGGAUCGUAAAACUCUGUUAUUAGGGAAGAACAAAUGUGUAAGUAACUAUGCACGUCUUGACGGUACCUAAUCAGAAAGCCACGGCUAACUACGUG
rnacentral:rRNA from 1 species